AUUGAACGCUGGCGGCAGGCCUAACACAUGCAAGUCGAGCGGAUGAAGGGAGCUUGCUCCUGGAUUCAGCGGCGGACGGGUGAGUAAUGCCCAGGAAUCUGCCUGGCAGUGGGGGAUAACGUCCGGAAACGGGCGCUAAUACCGCAUACGUCCUGAGGGAGCAAGUGGGGGAUCUUCGGACCUUACGCUAUCAUAUGAGCCUAGGUCGGAUUAGCUAGUUGGUGGGGUAAAGGCCUACCAAGGCGACGAUCCGUAACUGGUCUGAGAGGAUGAUCAGUCACACUGGAACUGAGACACGGUCCAGACUCCUACGGGAGGCAGCAGUGGGGAAUAUUGGACAAUGGGCGGAAGCCUGAUCCAGCCAUGCCGCGUGUGUGAAGAAGGUCUUCGGAUUGUAAAGCACUUUAAGUUGGGAGGAAGGGCAGUAAGUUAAUACCUUGCUGUUUUGACGUUACCAACAGAAUAAGCACCGGCUAACUUCGUG
rnacentral:rRNA from 1 species